GAUGAACGCUGGCGGCGUGCUUAACACAUGCAAGUCGAACGGAAAGGUCCAAGCUUGCUUGGGUACUCGAGUGGCGAACGGGUGAGUAACACGUGGGUGAUCUGCCCUGCACUUCGGGAUAAGCCUGGGAAACUGGGUCUAAUACCGGAUAGGACCACAUUUUGGAUGGUGUGGUGGAAAGUUUUUCGGUGUGGGAUGAGCUCGCGGCCUAUCAGCUUGUUGGUGGGGUAAUGGCCUACCAAGGCGUCGACGGGUAGCCGGCCUGAGAGGGUGUACGGCCACAUUGGGACUGAGAUACGGCCCAGACUCCUACGGGAGGCAGCAGUGGGGAAUAUUGCACAAUGGGCGCAAGCCUGAUGCAGCGACGCCGCGUGGGGGAUGACGGCCUUCGGGUUGUAAACUCCUUUCGCUAGGGACGAAGCGUUAUGUGACGGUACCUGGAGAAGAAGCACCGGCUAACUACGUG
rnacentral:rRNA from 1 species